CAUGCUCGAUCUGCUGUGGACAGAUCAAGUGGAUGUGGCUGUCGAAGCCGCCGGCGGUGAGGAUCUUGCCUUCGCCAGCGAUGACGUCGGUGCCGGGGCCGACGACGAUGGUCACCUUCGGCUGGAUGUCGGGAUUGCCGGCCUUGCCGAUUGCGUGGACCUUGCCGUCCUUGAUGCCGACGUCGGCUUUGACGAUGCCCCAGGUGUCGACGAUCAGCGCAUUGGUGAUGACGGUAUCGACCGCGCCCUGGCGGUUGGUGAUCUGGCUUUGGCCCAUGCCGUCGCGGAU
rnacentral:sRNA from 1 species